GUGUUCGCUACGGCAGCACAUAUACUAAAAUUGGAACGAUACAGAGAAGAUUAGCAUGGCCCCUGCGCAAAGGAAUACAGAACUACACAGUUCUUGCAAUUAUAC